UGGGAGGCCCUCAAGAAAAGACUUAACUCUUGGGCAGUUCUCCACGCUUCUCUAGGUUGUGGAACCUCAUCUCUCCAGCUGUGAAUGGCAAGCUCCAUGAGACGCGUUUCCAUUGGAGGCAACUUCACAGAGAGGCGCAGUCAGUUACCCAAGUUCACACAGCCGUGUCCAGCAGACGCGGGGGUCCCACGUCCGCAGGGCUCUCUCCAGAGGAGGUGUUGGCGCACACAAGAACACACCCUGCCCCCUCCUCCGUGACCUCCAGCGGCACCUGGGAGCCCUGGGGGAGCAGAACACCUCAGCAGAUUGCUUAUCGGAAGUCCAGAGCCUAGAGCAAAGCCCGGAGGAGCAGAAAACAGAACUGGGAACCACCAUGCUGACUUCUAUGGCAAUCAUUUCCUAGCUUCCUGUGAUCCUUUUCAGCCUGAGCAGACUUCCUAUUGGAGGAGGUAGUCAAGAGAACAUGACCAUUGGUUGACCCUUGAGCUAG